CGCGGCCUAUCAGCUUGUUGGUGGGGUAACGGCCCACCAAGGCAUCGACGGGUAGCUGGUCUGAGAGGACGAUCAGCCACACUGGGACUGAGACACGGCCCAGACUCCUACGGGAGGCAGCAGUGGGGAAUCUUGCGCAAUGGGCGAAAGCCUGACGCAGCAACGCCGCGUGGGGGAUGAAGGCUCUCGGGUUGUAAACCCCUUUCAUCAGGGACGAAAUUGACGGUACCUGAAGAAGAAGCCCCGGCCAACUACGUGCCAGCAGCCGCGGUGACACGUAGGCACCAAGCGUUGUCCGGAUUUAUUGGGCGUAAAGAGCUCGUAGGCGGUUCAGUAAGUCGGGUGUGAAAACUCUGGGCUCAACCCAGAGACGCCACCCGAUACUGCUGUGACUUGAGUACGGUAGGGGAGUGGGGAAUUCCUGGUGUAGCGGUGAAAUGCGCAGAUAUCAGGAGGAACACCAGUGGCGAAGGCGCCACUCUGGGCCGUAACUGACGCUGAGGAGCGAAAGCAUGGGUAGCAAACAGGAUUAGAUACCCUGGUAGUCCAUGCCGUAAACGUUGGGCACUAGGUGUGGGUCUCAACCAACGAGAUCCGCGCCGUCGCUAACGCAUUAAGUGCCCCGCCUGGGGAGUACGG
rnacentral:rRNA from 1 species